AAACUGAAAUGCAAUAAAAGAGAAAAAUAAUUUAACACCUAACCCAGUCAAAAGGAACAACUAGACUCCAAUAGCGUCUGUUGAAUUAUCAUUUCCAAAGCUCUAACGUUCCAUUAAUAGCAGUCCCCAAAGCAUUAAUAUAUCACUUCUGCUAUCUGUUUUGAUUUCUUUUCCUGUGAAACAUUUCAUCAAUCUGGAUUUCUUGACCAAAUUCCUACCGAGGCAGAAGCGUGGCUCUCCAGAUCUACUCCUCUCAGAUAAGUAUUUUCUCCUUUCUCAAGCGCAUUCUUUGCUAAUCUGUGAGCAUCCAUGUUCUCCGAUCUAUGAGUGUACUGAAAAAUGAGUUCUUGAAAAUCGGCUUUCUUGUUCUGAAUAUCUCUAAUAAUGGCUCCGAUGACUGAUUUAUCUAUGGAAUUCUCCUGGCAUUUUUUUAUUACUGUUUUUGAAUCCUCCAUAAGAAUUACCGACUGGAUCCUUAGUAAAAUCUCUAGCUUUGCACCGUCUAAACAUGCAUAUGCCUCUGCAGCAAACGAAUAAGGAACGUUUCUAUGGAUAACUGUCUUUAAAACCUUAACAUUUCCCCUCAGAUCCCGUCCUACAAGGCCAGACGCUGAACUGAAAGUUUUACUGUUGUACGCUGCAUCGAAGUGGAUCUUGACUCUCGAACUAUAUCCACCAUAACGCGUAACAGAAUAGUAGACAUUGGCCGUUGUCGCUCCUCUUGAAGACCCAGGACAUUCUCGGAAGACGUAGAGGCUACCUUCAACCGUAGAACUGCAUCGAGAACUUCUGUCAUUUGAAACAACUCUCCUGAUUCUGAGGUUAACAAAGGUUGGUAAAAAAAUCCCAAGAGAUCCGCCAGAUUGUAAAUGCAAUUUUUGAUGGCAUCUGUAGGUUCCACAGUUUCUUGUAAAAUUCUUUUAUUUCGGUUUGUAAUAAAUAGUAACUAGGAUCUUAGUUAGCAAUUUGUAAUAGUUUAUAGGCACUGCGGACUAAGAACUCACCAGAUAAUUCUCCUUUCCAAACCUGAAAAUCUUUAUGCUCAAUCUCUGCAACGGGAAUUUGAAGAAUUUUCCGAGCAAUGUCCUCUUGAAAGCUAUCAUCCCAUAUAGAUAUCCUAUCUCCUCUGCCCACUCUCCAGCACAUCCCUCUUUAGAGAAGACCCUUUGCAGCCCAUAUACUUUUCCAGGUAAAAGAAGGACUAAAGAGCCAGAGAACACUACCACUAGCCGAUUGACUGAAUGAAGAGAUCCUUGAUAGACGUGGAAGAUCAAACAAUACAAAUCAAAAAUACCUAGAAAACUAAGAAAAAGAAACAAUCACAGAAACCUAAUACUCGUGCCAGAAGCGGCAGGCAGAACCGUGCUAGGAAUUAAAGGCCUAACCACCAACCGCACGCAACAAGGGAAAGAGGGAGCGUGGCUGGGAAGGCUCGAACAAUAAGGGUUGCCAUACUCACAACCAGCAGAUCCACCACUAAGGGGAAGCCAAAGCCACAGCAAAGGGUUGGAGAAAGAUCAUCGUCACCAUUGUGGACAUUGUUAGAGAGAUUCGAAGCAUUCGGAGCGGCAUCGAUAGCCAGCCUAUUAAGGAUUGAAGCAACUAGAUCGACAUCACCAUGUGCGAGCCGACAAGGCUUAUCGACAAGUGUAAAACACAUCUACUUUUGAAAAAUACUUGCUUAUCUCGUUGAGGUAUGAGAUAAAUCCCAUAAACAUCUUUUAAAUAAGAAUAUAAUUAUACCAUUGUUAUUAUUCAUCAUUUA